UACGUAGGGUGCAAGCGUUAAUCGGAAUUACUGGGCGUAAAGGGCUCGUAGGCGGCCAACUAAGUCAUACGUGAAAUCCCUCGGCUUAACCGGGGAACUGCGUCUGAUACUGGAUGGCUUGAGAUUGGGAGAGGGAUGCGGAAUUCCAGGUGUAGCGGUGAAAUGCGUAGAUAUCUGGAGGAACACCGGUGGCGAAGGCGGCAUCCUGGACCAACACUGACGCUGAGGAGCGAAAGCCAGGGGAGCAAACAGG
rnacentral:rRNA from 1 species